rnacentral:tRNA from 1 species
GGAGGGGUGGCCGAGAGGCUGAAGGCGGCGGUUUGCUAAACCGUUAUACGGGUUAAAGCCCGUAUCGUGGGUUCGAAUCCCAUCCCCUCCGCCA